rnacentral:rRNA from 1 species
AAUCAACGCUGGCGGCGUGCCUAACACAUGCAAGUCGAACGAGAAAGUGGAGCAAUCCAUGAGUACAGUGGCGCACGGGUGAGUAACACGUGACUAACCUGCCUUCGAGUGGGGAAUAACCUCGGGAAACCGGGGCUAAUACCGCAUAACAUCAUCGGGUGAAAUUCCUGCUGAUCAAAAGUUUUUUGCUUGAAGAGGGGGUCGCGGCUGAUUAGCUAGUUGGUGGGGUAACGGCCCACCAAGGCAGUGAUCAGUAGCCGGCCUGAGAGGGCGCACGGGCACACUGGAACUGAAACACGGUCCAGACUCCUACGGGAGGCAGCAGUGGGGAAUUUUGCGCAAUGGGGGAAACCCUGACGCAGCAACGCCGCGUGGAGGAUGAAGUCCCUUGGGACGUAAACUCCUUUCGAUCGGGAAGAAUAAUGACGGUACCGGAAGAAGAAGCCCCGGCUAACUUCGUGCCAGCCGCCGCGGUAA